GACGAACGCUGGCGGCGUGCCUAAUACAUGCAAGUCGAGCGAAGUAUGAGGAGCUUGCUUCUUAUACUUAGCGGCGAACGGGUGAGUAACACGUGGGCAACCUGCCCGAUAGACUGGGAUAACUUGGGGAAACUCAAGCUAAUACCGGAUAGGAUCAUUGACUGCCUGGUUGAUGAUGGAAAGUCUGAACGACACUAUCGGAUGGGCCUGCGGCGCAUUAGCUAGUUGGUGGGGUAAGGGCCUACCAAGGCGACGAUGCGUAGCCGACCUGAGAGGGUGAUCGGCCACACUGGGACUGAGACACGGCCCAGACUCCUACGGGAGGCAGCAGUAGGGAAUCUUCCACAAUGGGCGAAAGCCUGAUGGAGCAACGCCGCGUGAGUGAUGAAGGUUUUCGGAUCGUAAAACUCUGUUGUUAGGGAAGAACACCCGAGAGAGGAUCUCGGAAUGACGGUACCUGACGAGAAAGCCCCGGCUAACUACGUGCCAGCCGCCGCGGUAA
rnacentral:rRNA from 1 species